GUACAGACGCCAGACGCCAGACGCCAGACGCCGUUGAGAGUUGAGAAACUCCAACUCUAACUAGCCAACCCUGCGGUUCUUCUUUGAAUCCCCAUAUGAGAAGCAGCAGCAGAAUACUUGUAAAGCUCCUCAAACGACAUUCACACACUGCCACGUCAUCAUCACGAUUCUCCACUCCCCCUCCCCACGAAGUCGUCGAACCCUUCUACGACCUCUCAGACGUCAUCGUUUCAGCCUCCCGUGACCCUCCUUCCCCAUCCCCAUGGCUCCCCCAAAUCCUCUCCCUCCUCGACGGUUCCCCUUCCAUGGAAUCCAACCUCACCUCCUUCUGCAACAAAUUCCUUAUCACUCUCUCCCCCAACUUCGUCUCCCACACCCUCCGCUCCCUCACCAACCAACCCCUCCUUGCCACGCGCUUCUUCCACUGGGCUCACUCUCAACCUAGCUACUCCCAUUCCCUCCAUUCCUACGUCUCUCUCAUCGAAACCCUCUCCUUUUCUUCAUCCUUCGAUUCCACUGUGUUCCAGAACAUUCUACAAGAAUUCAAGUGCCGGAAGUUUAAAUUAACUGCCGCCGCCGUUAACUCCUUGCUCAGGAGCUUUGCCGCAGUUGGCAUGGUGGAGGAGCUGUUGUGGAUGUGGCGGAACAUGAAGGAGGAUGGCCUUGAGCCGAAUUUGUAUAAUUUCAAUUCGUUGAUGAACGGAUUGAUUAAUGCCGGUAUGGUGGAAUCGGCGGUUAGGGUUUUCGAGGCGAUGAGGGAGGUUAAUGUGAGGCCGGAUUCGGUUAGUUACAAUACGGUUAUUAAAGGGUAUUGUAAGGUUGGGAAAACUAGGAAGGCCUUGGAGAUGAUUAGGGAGAUGGAGGCUGGGGAUGAUGGUGGUAAUGUGGGGCCGGAUAAGGUUAGUUACAUGACGGUUAUGCAGGCGUGUUAUGGCGAAGGGGAUGUGGAUUGUUGUGUGAGGCUUUACCAUGAGAUGAAGGAGAAGGGGUUGGUGGUUCCUCCACAUGCUUAUAGUUUGGUGGUGUGUGGGCUUUGCAGGCAAGGGAAGGUUGUUGAGGGUCUCAAUGUGUUUGAAGAGAUGAGAAGGGAUAGUUGCGGAGCCAAUAAGGCGGUGUACACGGCGUUGAUCGAUGGUUAUGCAAAAACUGGGAAUGUUGACGGGGCGAUGAGGUUGUUUGAGAGGAUGAGACAGGAGGGGAUUAAACCGGAUGAAGUUACUUAUGGGGCGAUUGUUAAUGGUUUGUGUAAGGGUGGGAGAGUGGAGGAAGCUUUGGGUUAUUUAGAGUUUUGUAAAGAGAAUGGUGUCAUGGUGAAUGCAGUAUUUUACUCGAGUUUGAUUGAUGGCCUUGGGAAGGCUGGGAGAGUUGAUGAAGCCGAGAAGUUGUUUUAUGAGAUGGUUGAUAAGGGGUGCCCCCCGGAUUCUUAUUGCUAUAAUGCACUUAUCGAUGGAUGGUGUAAAGGUGGGAGGAUUGAUGAAGCAUUGGCACUGUUUAAACGGAUGGAGGAGGACGGUUGCGAGCAGACUGUGUAUACGUAUACCAUACUUAUCAGUGAGCUUUUUAAAGUGCACCGGAAUGAAGAGGCAUUGAAAUUAUGGGACAUGAUGAUAGAUAAGGGCAUAACACCAAAUGUUGCUUGCUUUAGGGCUCUUUCAAUUGGACUCUGUCUUUCGGGCAAGGUAGCGAGAGCUUGUAAGAUCUUGGAUGAGCUGGCACCCAUGGGGAUUGUUCUUGAAACAGCUUAUGAAGACAUGAUUAAUGUGUUGUGCAAAGCCGGCCGGGUGAAGGAAGCCUGCAAGUUAGCCGAUGGGAUUGUGGACAGAGGUAGAGAAAUUCCUGGAAAAGUUAGAACAUUGAUGAUCAAUGCGUUGAGGAAGGCUGGUAAUGCAGAUUUGGCUAUAAGGCUGAUGCAUAGCAAGAUUGGUAUUGGGUAUGACCGGAUGCGUAGUGUUAAAAAGAGAGUGAAGUUCCAAACCCUUAUUGACAGCUGACUCUGUUUUUCGCCAGGUAUUGCACCUUCAAAAUUGACAAAGGUCAAAGCUUGUAUAUGUAUGGAAGUAUAGCCAUGCCUGGUUGUUGCGUUGUUAGUGAACUUAACUGUUUGUUGAUACCAGGAACUAUUAUUAAUUGACUGGGUUGGGAUGAUUAAAUUCAGGAUCUAAUAUUUCAUGUUCAACCGAGGCGAUUCAUGUAACAUGAGUCUUGGUUACAUCUCUUCAGGUGCUGGAACCUUGGUUAGUAACUUUACAAGAUUAGAAUGUCGAUAGUUGUGGCGACCGGCAACCUAUUUGUCACCACUGCUGCAGGUUUUGCUGCAUCAUAUUUAUUGUAUUAUACAGAAUCAAGUUUCGUGGAAGGUGGAAGCUUUUGCCGGCAGCAUUCUUUGCCUACAUUUUCCCAUCUAAAUGCAUUGAUAACAUGUGCACUAAAUCAUUGAUCAUGUGAUAGAAUGUCAUUAGUUAGUUACUUGUAUAUAAGGUGAGAGAAAAUCAGUUGAGAAACUAAGGGGUUUUGGUGAGUUUUGAGGAGAAAAAGGAGAGAAGCUCUUGAAUGAGCCUCUCAUCCCUGUAUUUAAUUCAGGUUCUUGAAUCAUGUUGACUAAUAUCUUAUUCAAUAAACAUAUUUCUUACAUUUUUUUAAUACUGCUCUUCAGUCUCUGAACUAACUUCAUCAUUGUUAGAUUCUUAUAAUGGUACUACAUUAUGGGACCAAAAUGCAAAUGGCGCAAGAAAUCUUUCAUACAUUGAAAAAAAAAUUGUACAGAACAAAACUAAUUUCUUUGGCACUCCAAAUUUCCAAAUCCUAACUUGCAAGUACACAUUGUAGCAUUCAAAUUAACAAAGUUGACCCCCUUUUCACAUGACUAACUAGAAGAGGAAAGGCUCAACAUGAAAAAAGGGUAGAGAGGGUAGUUUUUUUAUGGCGAACAAGAACAAAGAAAAGUUAUUGUCAUGUUACGUAUAACGAUAUUCAAUUUGCAUGUUACAUACUCUUCAAAAGUAAUUCAUGUGAACCAAUGAGAUCUACUUGGUCCCCCCUCUUUUUUUUUUCAUUCUCAGUACUUUAGGGCAGAAUUGGUAUUUGGUUUCAUUUUCUAUCUUUCAUUAUUGAUUUUAUAUCUUACAUGCUAAUAAAAGAUUUUUGCAAUUUCCUUUUUAAUAUCCCCCUCUUACGUGAAUACCAGGUGAAGAAUUUUGCCCAUUAAUGUGUAAAAUUGAGUCACUUCUUGAAGACGAAUAAAAGACCUUGCAUCAAAUCCAUAGCACUCAUGAAUUUUGUGUGGAGUAUUGGUGUUUCAUAUCACUGCAUGUUUGAUAACCAAUACUAAUUAGUUUGACCCAAUUUCUUGACUUUUAUUUUCAAUUAGAACAAAAAAUAGAACAUUAGUCUUAUGGUCGUGCCAUCAAGUAUUGAUGAUUAAUUCCUCAACUACCAACUUACUUUUGAAUUCUCCAUCAGUCUUAUGUCCGUGCCAUCCAGUUGGAUGAUAAGAUGGUCUUUGAUUUGGUUGAAAGUGGAAAUAUCUCAUAAACCAACCUUCAUUUAGGAAGGUACUCCUCGUUAAUAAUGAAUUCUAUUUUCUUGCAAAUCCUUUCAUGAAUUUUUGGAGGCUGUUCGACCACAUCCAAUUGUUUAUAUUCUAUAACUAUCUGUGAAAUUGUCUUCGGGUUUUUCUAUAUGUAAGGGAGUUGAACAAUUUCAACAAGCUUUGGAUAUUUCAUCACAAUGUGUGCUUGCACAAUAUGAACUUGCUUUUGGGGCUCCUUUGUUUAGCAAAAGAUUGCAUGAACUUGGGACCAUUUAUGUGGGGGGCUUCUUUGUUAGAGGAAGCAUCUGAGGUUGCAAGAGCAAGUGCUUAUUCUGUUAGGAAUGUCUCAUGUAUUGGGAAAUUAUAUGUUGAUGUUCAGGUAUCAUUUGUUUUGUUAGUAUUAAAAGGAUUUCUUUGUUUUCAACAUUUUAUAUUUUCAGGCAUAUGUUGGUGUCAUGGCAUGGACGUGGAUCUUCUUCUCUGAGGCCAAUUCUCCUUGAAGAUUGAGUGUGCCUUAAAUGCCCCAUUAAAGAGUUGUUUAAGACAUGAUUCAGGAACUGGAUAAGAACAUUCAGAAAAUAUACUGCAGCAUUGCUAUCGGUUGCAUUGCUGAGGCUUGCUUGGAUUGACCGACUACCCUUGCCAGAUAUAUGAAAAGUAGUAUGAAAGAAGUUUACAUGUCAAAGAUAGGUAGUUAAUGCAGUUAUGCGUAUUUCAGUUUAUAUGUUUAUGCCUAGCUAUGAAGAUGGAAACUAAUAAGCUAAAGCCUUAUCUCGGUUGUCAAACCCGUGAGUUGUAAUUAUUGAACCAAAUAAUUUCGACAGUGUAGCAUUAAGAGUUAUAAUA